UUUCUGGAAAUUUUUUGUGGUGCUUUUCCAGAAAAUGGAAGAGGAACGGGGGGGAGGGUGGCGAGCACGAGACGAGGACGCGGCUCACGCGCACUAAUGUUUCUGCGUUGCCUCCGCCAGGCGAGAAACCCUUCAGGUGCGAGUUCGAGGGCUGUGAGCGGCGCUUCGCCAACAGCAGCGACCGCAAGAAGCAUUCGCACGUGCACACUAGCGACAAGCCAUACACGUGCAAGGUGCGCGGCUGCGACAAGUGCUACACUCACCCCAGCUCGCUGCGUAAGCACAUGAAGGUGCACGGGCGCUCGCCGCCGCCGCCCAGCUCUGGCUACGAUUCGGCUACCCCGUCUGCCCUCGUGUCGCCCUCGUCAGACUGCGGCCACGAGCCCCAGGUGGCCUCC